rnacentral:rRNA from 1 species
AGAGUUUGAUCCUGGCUCAGGACGAACGCUGGCGGCGUGCUUAACACAUGCAAGUCGAGCGGAAAGGCCCUUUUGGGGGUGCUCGAGCGGCGAACGGGUGAGUAACACGUGAGUAACCUGCCUUGGCUCUGGGAUAAGCCUGGGAAACUGGGUCUAAUACCGGAUAUGACCACUCCUGGCAUCGGGUGGUGGUGGAAAGU